GUGUUAAAUAUCCAUACUUUACUUAAUGCAUACAAUAGUAGAAUGCACAGCGCAGUCAAUUUGUAUGUAAUAUAUGUAACAGCAUUUAAGUAAAUAUUUAUCGCAAACAAGUUACAAUUAUUUCAACAUUGAUUACUGUGUGUCACAUACUUUGUGCUUUACGUUACGCGUGCCCAAUGUUAUAUGAUCUAUAACUCGCACAAACUGAUUUCAUAUAGUAUAAUGCUUAAAAGAUGAUAUAAAAAAUAAAAAUUUGUUCCUUGACGUAAUAUAUUUGCUAGAUAUAUAUACUUCACUAAUCUGUUUAUAACUUUAUGCCGAGUAUUUUUCAUUUGUGUAGAUUAGGCCAACAACAUAAAUAUUUUGUUAGAUGUUCCUGUCUUAACUUUCCAUAAUAUGGGAAAAAACAAGUUAAAAAUUGUACUCAACUGCAUUCAUGUAACAUUUCUCUGAUCUUUAUUUAUAUAUCUAAAUCUACCUUCUUCCAUCAUGUCUGUGGUCAGAGCACCUAAACCAUGGGAGAGCUAUUCUGUCAUUUAAAUUUUUCACGCAACUAAGGUACUUUUCAGCUUCAAAGUCGUCUUAAAAUCAUAUUGUAUAUCUCUAGUUUUGAUGAGAUCAUUUUCAGAAAACAAUCCUUGAUAAUACUGAUCAUAAAUACUUUGAACAUCACUAUUCAGAUUAAUCACGUUUGGUUUAUCAAAAACAGUUGCUAACCCUAAAGUUUGCAACAUAUAUUUUACAUCAAUAAACCAUUUUUUAACAAAAGUAAUAUUUCUGUCUUUCAUCAUCAACAGUUUAUAUAACAAGGAGUUCGGUUGCUUAAUUCCAUAUGCGUGCAAAGAUGUACUUCAAAAUUCACGAUAUAUAGCAGCAUUUGAUGUUUGCUGUCUCACACCUAGUAGUUGUUUAAAAUCUUUUUUGUGAACACGUUCUAUAUUUGGUAAGAAUUUAUAAAAUGAGCAUUUAGUCAAACAUGAAAUAUAAAAAGAAAAUUUUGUUUGUUUUACAUGUAGGAUGAAAAUAUCUUUAACCCAAGAGCACCAUAUCUCGCAUGUUCACCCGUGACUAUGGCACUCGCGAAAAUAUUUCAUCAGGUGUUUAAUCGUUAAAGAUAUUUCAGUUUUACUCUGAGACAAACAAAUAUUCUUUAUAUCAUUUAAUCUGAAAUCCUCAUCAAGAAUAUUUGAGUCUGCUGAAAAUAUAAACUUACCGUGCAUAGAGCUGAAUACAAGAUUAAAUUUCGAUUUGUUGAAGAAUGCGUUAUACAAAGUUAUAUUAUGUUUGAUAAGUGUGUUCUAAUUUCAUCCAACACAUUGCACUGUUACUAUAUUCAGAUUCAAUCUUUCAGCACGAAAUGUGGCUUAAUAUUUGAUACAACUGUAGUAGUUAUCAAAGUGACGAAUUUCUAUGUCAUUUGAAAGUGUCUAAUUCUCUCAAUUUAAGGUAUUAUAACAACAGCAAAGGCACCCACAACAACAACAACAACAACAACAAAGGGACCCACAUCAACAACCCAGAAACAAUUAUCAAAAUCCUGUGUUGAUAUUGGUUGGAAGUACUGGUCAUGUAGAAAAAUCUCUAAAUACUUCAAGGCUACCUUUGGCUUCUUACCGAGUUACUGGUGUCGGGAUCCAUACUGGGAUCAUACGUGCUGUGCUUUAUGUGCGGCUCACACUAAAUUUCUUGAGGGUGGCACCACAACAACUGAACCUCCGACGACGACGACGACGGAAUGUGUAGACAAAGGGUACAAAACUUGGAAAUGCAGCACUGUAUCUGCGUAUUUCAAGAAACGCUAUGGCCUUUUGCCACAGAGAUGGUGUUCGGAUCCGGACUGGAAUGAGAUUUGUUGUGAAUUUUGCGCAAACAAUGGUGGAUAAAACAACUUCAGACAGUCAGAUUCAUUUUACUGAAAAAGACGACUGAACGUGGUCUAGAAUACAUUGCUGAAUACAAAAUGUAGAAACAAAAUAUAAUGUGAUUGACAUAAACAAGUGUAUUAUCAAAAUGGUGAUUAAAUCAUAAUGUCGGCGUGGAAGCAACCCAAACCAUGUAAGGCGUUUCUUAUUAUAAGCAGUGUAUACACGUACUUUUUAUGAACAUUUAUAUAAAAUGAUAGCAUUGAGUUGUCCUAUCAUAAGCUUCUUAAGUAGUGUACAGACAGUUUGCGAACAUUUGUCAUUCUGCAUUAUGUUUUGUUUAGAUAUGACAUGCACUUAAAUAGAAGUACAUUGAUUUACUGCGAUUAAAAUGUUUGUUCAAAG
rnacentral:lncRNA from 1 species